CACCGCGGUUAUACGAGAGGCUCAAAUUGAUAUUCUCCGGCGUAAAGCGUGAUUAAAGAAAAUAUAAAACUAAAGCCAAACACCCCCCAAGCUGUCAUACGCUAACGGAGGCACGAAGCCCCACAACGAAAGUGGCCUUAAAAACUCUUGAACUCACGACCAUUAAGAAA
rnacentral:rRNA from 2 species